GAAUUUAUGACAAUUUUGUCAUAAGUAGAGUGUGUCUUUAUUCUAUCUUUUGCAAGAUACACAUGUUUGAUAAAUACAUUAUCUCAACAGGUUUUAGAAGCAUUUAGAAAGAAAUCCAUGAAAUGAUUGAUGCACUAAUAACAUGAUUCACAACUACUUUAAAGAUAUCUGGGCCCCUAAAUGACCACUUGUGUCACUACUGUGUUUUAUAAAUUUAAACUGUCAUGAGCUAUGUGAAUAAUUUUCAAGGAACUGCUUCUAAAAUACUGUGGACCCUCAAGUGACAACCGGCCUGACAUCUGCACAACCUGG